AAGUGUUAAAAAUUUAUAUGUGUAAAAUAUAUUAAACCUAAAACACCUCUGAAGGACCUCAUAUUAUGGACGGGAUGAUGUAUCUAAUAGUUUACACAUAUUGAA
rnacentral:sRNA from 1 species